CAGAAGAGGUUACAUAGGACUUUAUCACUUGUUGCUUUUCCAUUAUUACAGGAUCCAAGUAACUAACUCUACAUCAAUUCUUUGGAAGUUGAUGCUAAGGCAUGUGUAGACUUCGUGGCAAAAGUAGUUGGAGUAACUUCGGGACCAAAAGGAAGAAUUUUGGUGUUGCACAUUAAAUUGCAUCCCAAGAUUGUUAAAGAUACUGAAAGUGUUUUAAACAGAACAGAUUGAUUGGAGGAUGCUUUGGAGUAUGUAGGAGUUAAAUUAGUGAGG